UUCUGUUUCACAUAUCAUACCGUCACCUGCCACCAAGGAGAGGCUUGCUGCUUUCAGAAAACUUGAUCCUGCAACAAGGUCAUUUCAAGCUAUUACCCAGGAUUCUCAAGAAGUAUCCUCAGGCUCUGUAACAAUGUCGAGCAACACGAGUGAGGCGUCGGGAAGUCAAGCCGGUGCGGACGCUCGUUUAAAGGGAAAGCUUUGAGCUUUCAAGUAAGUCAACCAAGCGGAUGGUGAUCAACGCAAGGCUUAUGAACCGAACACAUUCAAGAAGUAGUUCCGAAAAUUUUGUCUUAGAUGAUCAUUAGUAAUAAUUUUGUAAUAGAAGG